rnacentral:lncRNA from 1 species
AAGAAACUUCUUAAAUUACAAGUUCCUAAUGUGAUGGCCAAGAGGCCAAAGACUUGACAUUGAAUAAAUAGAAGAUUGACGUAUCAUCUCAAUAGUGCUCGUCUCUUAUACGACAAGUAUUACAAGCUUAUGUUGGAUUAAGCUUGAAAGAAAAGGGAACUUGAGAAAUAAGUUAAAGACCUAAUCGUACCGAGUUAUGGAAAUUAGGAAUAUUAAUAUGUUUAGGAGGAGUUAUCUAGAUAUAUUACCUAAUAGGAUUAGGAGUUAUUAAUCUCUAUAUAAGAAGAUGCAAGAGUGUUGCAUAACUUAUGGUUUAGAGAUUGAGAGAUUGUGAGCUUAAGGUUUUUGAGUUAUUUUUCCUUAAGAUAAUAAGAGAGUUAUUCUUAUUUGUGAUUGAGUUCUUGAGAUUUCUAAACUAUAUUUGGUAUCAGAGCAACAGGUUAGAUACUGGAUCUGUAAUAAGUUUCUUUUGCUCAAACCCUAAUUUCGGACUUCAACAAACAUCACGGCUAACUAUUAUGGUUAUGGGGGCGAAUGUAUUCAAGUUAGACUCGCCUAAGUCUGACACGGAUAAAGAGAUGACGACGAUGAGUAAGGUUGCGGUUCAAUCUCAGAUAACCCUCUUACAUCGCAAAUCAAAGAAGAAGAAGAAGAAGAAGCACAAGAGGAUAUCUGGUGGUGAUGAGAUAGUAAAAACUAAAAGCUCCAAAGUUAAUCGACGUCAUGAGAAAGCACUCAUUAACAGUGAUGAUUACGGUGCUAAGAGAGAUCAGGGAAAGAGAAGGCGUGUUGAUUCUGAUGUGGGAAAUACAACACACAAACCUAGGAAGAAAAAUAGUAUGCUUGCAAUGAUUGCGAUUAAAUGUGGUGUACAGUUAACCACCAGUGAGAGAAUGGCUGAAGACUUCGAGAAACUGACAGGAGGGAUACUACUCUCUAGGAACGAAGACGGCUUGGUUUUCUACCGAGGAAAGAAUUUUUUGUCACGAGAAAUAGAUGAGGCAUUGGUGGAGCAAGAAAAACUUGUAAGGAGUUUACAAGAAGAAGAAGAGGCACGUUUAGAAGAAGGAUCAUCGGCCCUGAUUGUCAUAAGUACUGAACCUAGUAAUGAACUUGUUUAUGCUGGUACUCUUGGUAAAACACGUGACUUGACAAGUAAGUGGGGAAUGAAUCUGAACGAUGGUCACCAUGCAGAAGAAGUGAAACACGAGGUUAAAGAACUGAGGCAUAAGAAUCUUGUCAGGAAGCUGGAAAAGAAAUUUGUUAUUGCUGAGAGAAAGCUAUUAAAAGCUGAACGUGGUUUGGUUAAAGUGGAAGAGUACCUACAGCCAGCAGAGCAGAGAGCAGACAUAGAAAGCAUAACUGGUGAAGAGAGGUUUAUAUGCCGCAAGCGUGGUUCGAAUAUGAAAGCUUUCUUGCUUAUAGGUAGGCGAGGAGUGUUUAAUGGCACGGUUGAGAACAUGCAUUUGCACUGGAAAUACGGAGAACUGGUCAAAAGGAAGGCUUUAGCACGUUCCAUUAAACUCCAACGACACGAGGGAUGUAUAAAAGAAACUUUGGCAAUGCAUGCAAGAGCAGAACGGAUGGGAGUUGAAACUGAACUUAUGGAGAAAAUAGAAGACUUCAGGAGAGUGAAGAAGCUUCUGACUUAUGUGAGAUUCGAGCCUGUUUCUUCAAGAAAAACAUUGUUACCUUCAAGAGAGCAGAUGAGAACAAAGGAACUAUUAUUAGAAAAACACUUAGAGGAAAACGAGGAACAGAAGGUAAGUGUGUUGUCGUGUAUGCAUAUCUUGAGAUAUACUCGCACUGAAGUAGAAAGUGAGAGAGUAAAGCUCAACAGAGUCGCUGAGACUAAGGGAUUUGCGCAUGACUUGGAAGAUCAACUAAGAGAAUUGGAAAAGAAAGAAACGGACAUAACAGAGUUGUCUUGUAAUCAUGACGAGGAGGCAGAGGAGGAAGAGAAAAAGAUGAUACAAAAAUAUCAUAAAGAUAAUGGAUGUGAACAAUCCCAGUUCCCAAUCCUCUGUCAAUCUUGCUUUUGUGACAAUCUUUACUUGAGAAUGGUAAUAGCAGAUUAUAAGAUAGAAUGCAAGGUACGUACACGGUUCUUUACGGUGUUUAGGUGGCAGCCUAGCCGGACUGAGAGAUACAAGAAACCAGACAUAUGUCAGACUUACUCCAAGUUGAAGAACAGAUGCCAAGUCUGUCUUCUGGAUCUUGAGAAAGGUCUUCCUGUUCAGGUCAGUGACACGGCAUUCAACAUUACUACUCACGGGAAAGAGAAGCACUUUAGUGCUACAGAGGAAGAUAUCAAUCAUAAGUCAACUAUACUGGAGAAUGAGAAGGAUCAACUUAGAAAGUUAUACUUAGAGGACUUGAGGGGUCAAAAUCUUCAACGGUUGGCUGCAUCAGAUGGAUUGUCGAUGGAGAAAACUAAAUUUCAAGUUGAGAGUAAACACAGUAAUGGAAAAAAAGAAGAGUUACGAGAAAAAACAGAGUACGUUACACGAGAGGUUUUCUCAAUGUAUCUCAUGAGAGAGCAUGAAGAACUUGUGAAUAAAAUGGUGGAGGAACAUUCAAAGUGGCUUACUAAGAUACAGCAUGAACGAGUUGACCUCGUGUUGGGCAUUGAGAUGCAGAAAAGAGAGUUCGGGUAUUGUAUUAAAGACAAACGGGAAGAAUUUAAAAAUUCUUCAAGGGAGAGAGUGGUAAGAUCAGAGAUCGGAUCUACCGGAAAUCGCUAGUAUUAUUGAUAACCCAUGUCAAGUAUUACAACUGAGAGACUCUAUCACCUGAGAUCUCUACCUACUCUAUCACCUGAGUAGUACUAAGCACAUGAGCUCAGUUUACAAUUGUAAUUUCUCGAUAACCGUCUAACAGACUCCAAGCUAGUAUUUAUACUAAUAUACAAGCACGUGUUAUUAUUUAUUCUUGUUUUAAACUUCAGACGUCCUUGCCUUCGUCCUGCUUCUCUUUCAUCCCUCUAUCUCCUUUGAAUCUUCUCCUCUCAUAUGUAUGCUUGUACCUAUCAAUACUCCCCCCAUUAACAGCAAGCUUGCCCUCAAGCUUGUAAUCUGGAAAAUGACAUACGAAGUCGCUCAUACACAUCCAAGAAUUGUCAUGCUCCGGAGAAUUCUUCCACCGGACCAACAACUCCACCCCAUCAUCCAUCCCGACGCGAGACGCAAUCACUUCCUCAGGUUCCAUGAUUAUAUUCUCCAAAUCCGUACAUGAUGGAGGAAUCUCCUGGAGUAACUGGUUCUGACCCAACGCCGCUUUCAACUGUGAAAUGUGAAAUACCGGAUGAAUUUUAGAUCCUUCUGGUAACCGUAAGCGGUACGCUACCUUACCCACACGUUCCAAAAUCUCAUACGGCCCAAAGAACUUCGCAGCCAACUUCUGACAGUAGCGUUUGACGACUGUGUUUUGUCGAAAUGGUUUUAACUUGAGGUACACGGCAUCCCCCACAGCAAACUGAAGAUCCCGUCUAUGCUUAUCUGCUUGUGACUUCAUCUGAGACUGAGCACGAGCCAAGUGGAGACGAAUCUGAACCAACAUAGCAUCUCGUUCCUGUAACGCCGCUUCCAAGUCAAAAUUCUUAGUUGAGCCCGUUUCAAACCGUAGCAGCUGCGGCGGUUCUCUCCCAUACACAAUCUGAAACGGAGUAGCCUUAAGCGACGUAUGAAAAGACGUAUUGUACCACAACUCUGACCAUGACAGGAACUUAAACCAAGUCUUAGGAUGUCCAGACGCGAAACAGCGUAAAUAGGUCUCCAUACAACGGUUAAGGACCUCUGUCUGACCAUCUGUUUGUGGAUGAAACGCUGUACUGUACUUCAACUUGGUACCUGAUAGACGAAACAAGUCUUUCCAAAAGUUGCUCAAAAAAAUAUGAUCACGGUCUGAGACAAUGGACUUGGGAAAACCAUGAAGACGAACAAUCUCUGUCAUGAAUUUACUCGCGACGUCCACUGCUGUGAACGGAUGCUUCAAUCUCACAAAAUGACCAUACUUACUCAGACGAUCUACCACCACCAUAAUCACAUUCAUACCUUGCGAAGUAGGUAAUCCUUCCACGAAAUCCAUCGAGACGUCUUCCCACACGCGGAGGGGUAUUGGCAGAGGCUGUAACAAGCCUGCUGGAGUUAGGGUCGAAUACUUAUGGGUCUGACAUACACCACAUUCUGAUACAUACUUCUGAACCGUUUUAUAUAAUCCUUCCCAAUGAAACAUAGUCUGUACGCGUUUGACGGUCUUAAGAACCUCUGAAUGACCACCCACCUUUCCGUCAUGACACUCAAACAAUAUAAGAGGAAUCCAUUGCGACUGUUUUGGUAAGACCAGCCUCUGGUUGUACCAUAAUCUAUCAUUGAUCACUCUGAAAUGUGGGUUAGCUGAUUCGCCUUUUCGGACUGCUACAAUUAGCUUCUGCAACUCUGUGUCUUCCGCAAUUUCUCUGUAAAUGUCCUCGACCUGAAUCACCGACGGAACAGUCAAUGCCAAACAUAGUGAGCUGCCCUGUAUCAUAUGGUCGUUCUCAAUUCUUGAAAGACCAUCCGCCGCCUUGUUAUCACAACCUGGCUUAUAUAAGAUCUCGAAAUCAUAGCCCAAAAGUUUCGUAAGCCACUUCUGAUACUCCAUGUUGACCUCUCGCUGUUCCAACAGAUACUUUAAGCUCUGUUGAUCUGUGUGUACCACAAACUUCCUUCCUAACAGAUAAUGCUUCCAUUUUUGUACUGCCAUUACUACCGCCAUCAGUUCUCUUUCAUAAGCUGGUUUUAACCUUUCCCGUGGAGUAAGACCAUGGCUAAAAAACGCAAUGGGUCGCUUAUCUUGCAUCAGUACUGCUCCCACUCCAAAUCCUGAUGCAUCUGUCUCAAUCACGAAUGUUUUCUCAAAAUUCGGUAAAGCCAGCACAGGUGUUGAGGUCAUUGCUUUUUUAAGUUGCUCAAAUGAUUCCUGCGACGCCUUUGACCAUAAGAACCCUUCUUUCUUUAACAAUUCAGUUAGGGGUCUUGCGAUGGUUCCAUAUCCCUGCACAUAUCUUCGAUAAUACCCUGUAAGACCCAAGAAGCCUCUUAACUGCUUUACUGUUUUUGGUGUCGACCAUUCCUUCAUACACUUCGUUUUACAUGCGUCCGUAGCUACACCCUCUCUUGAUAUAAUAUGUCUCAAAUAUUCCACCUGUGAUAACCCAAAUGAACAUUUCUUCUUGUUUGCCUAUAACUUCUGUUCUGCCAAAAUUGAUAACACAAUACGCAAGUGCUGUUCAUGUUCUUCUGCAUUUCGACUGUAAAUUAGCACAUCAUCGAAGAAAACCAAGACGAACUUGCAUAAGUAAGGACGAAAUAUUGAGUUCAUCAGAGCUUGGAAGGUUACGGGCGCAUUAGUGAGUCCAAAGGGCAUCACUAGAAAUUCAUAAUGGCCUUCCACCGUGCGAAACGCAGUCUUCUCAACAUCGCUGUCCUUCAUUCGUAUCUGAUGAUAUCCCGCCCUUAAAUCGAUCUUAGAGAAGAUUGUAGCACCAUGUAACUCGUCCAAUAGCAUAUCAAUCACCGGUAUUGGAAAUUUGUCAGGUACAGUCACUUUGUUCAAAGCCCUAUAGUCGAUACAAAAUCGCCAAGAACCAUCUUUUUUUUUUGACUAAGAGAACGGGGCUUGAAAACGGACUAGUACUUGCUCUGAUAAUCCCUGCUUGCAACAUCUCACCAACCAUCUUCUCCAUUUCUACUUUAGUUGCGUGAGGGUAUCUGUAGGGACGCACAGAGAUUGCAGACACGCCUGGAUGUAAGUUUAUUGAGUGAUCAUAGCCUCUAAAAGGUGGUAACCCAGUUGGUAGGGCAAAAACGUGAUCAAACUCAUCCAAGACGGCCUGCAGCUUUUUCGGAAUUUCUGGAAUGGUGGUAGUUACCUCGCUUGCUGAUAACAGGAACUCUUCUCUUCUUCCCAUAUCAGCAUUAAAGAUAGGGGUCAGUGACUUAAAAGAGAGUGAAGAACAAUGCAAGUUUGGAUCUCCAUGGACUGUCACUUUGUUGCCUUGAUGCACAAAGGACAUCUCUUGCGUUUUCCAAUCUACUUCGCAUUUUUCCAGGGUCUCCAGCCACUGAACUCCUAAAAUAACAUCAACCAUUCCCAAUUCCAAAGCUAUGAAUUCUGAGGUGAAUUCAGUAUCUGCUAGGUUGAAUGUAACAGACUUACACACUCCUGUACCGUUGACUGUUACUCUGUUACCUAGCAGGACGUCGAGGCUCUUAUCUACACAAAUUUUCAGCUUAAGCCUCUGCACCGUAUCAGGUGUGAUGAAGUUAUGGGAAGCUCCACUGUCAAUCAUGAUGAUCACACUGCUGUUGUUGAUCUUCCCAUAUAGCUUCGUUGUUUUCGGGGAUUGUUUUCCCAAAAAUGAGUUGAGAGAAAGUACUCUCAUUUCCUUUGCUGGCGUAUAGACUAUCGUUUCUUCCUCUGACUCCUCUUCUUCAUCCAAGACCUCCAUGUCCAUUCCAUUCACUAUCGUUAUAACCCGGAGCUCCUUGUUUGGACAUAUGUGAGCCCGUGUCCAACCAUUAGCGCCACAUUUGAAACAUAUGAACUCCUUCCUCAUUCUAUCCAACUCCUCCUUAGUAUGUUUCAGCCGCGGACGCAGAUUUGCAACCGGUGUGAUACUGUCAUCUUUUUUUUUAUGAGUAAUUGUUGUUUGCGUUUUCUUGUUACUAGCGUCGUGCCAAUGUCGUUGUGAAUUGUAUCCAGAUGAUGAUUUCAAUGUAUUCGACUGCGACUGACUUUGAUAACGAGUUCCUCCUGUGCUAACCACUUUACAGAAGGCGCUUGUUUCCAUUCUCAAGACUGCUGCAAUGUGACUCUCCAGACCUUUCGGCUCUUUCAUUCUGAUGACUUCCUUCAUCUCUUGUGUGAGCCCGUUGUAGAAGAUCUUGAUCAGGAACUCAUCAGUUAAUCCCGGAACCAACUCUGAUAACUCUUCAAACUCUGAUACAUAAUCAGCUACUGACCCUGUCUGUUUGAGUGCAAUGAGACGGCUUGCUGGUUCUUCUUCAAUAGACUCAGUGAAUCUCAAUACCAGUUUCUCUUUGAACUCUUGCCAAUUCUGAAAACCACUCCGCUUUAGCUCCCACCCAAACCAUUUCUUAACACAUCCUUCUAAACUUAACGCCACCAAUUCCAGUUUCUCCAUAUCUUCAUAUCUCCCGAUACUAAACCAUCGCUCAACAUUUGUGAUCCACACGUAUGGUUGCUUGCCAGAGAACACAGGCAUUGGGAUUUUUUUCAACAUUGAGUCUCUAGUAUCCAAAUUCAUAUUCCCAGAUCGAUAACCUAGCGAGUGUUCUUCCCGAUUUCGUUCCCAGUGUCGAGAAUGUACCUGAUCGCGUGAGGAACUUGGCUGCGAAUGUUGUUGUUGAUUUCGUAAUGGAUCGAGACGCUCUAGGAUUUGUCGCAUCGCGUUAAGCUCCUGAUUCGUCUUCUCCUGAGUACUCUCCAUCUCCUUCAUAGCUCGAUUGAGUCUCGAGUAUCCUCCUCUCAGAAAAUCCACCGUCAUAUCAGAUUCUUCGACCUCAAAUUCGUCUUCCGAACCGAUCAUCGUACUCUCCGAUAUAACCUUCGCCUUCGACAUCGCUCGGACUCUCCGACUCCAAUCGAAUACCUCACCCGUCGACGUUCACCGUAAACUGUGAUCGCAACGUAACCUUCGUCUUGCGAUCGGCAGAAAUCGUAACUACCACCGCCGCGUGAGCUCGAAUCAGUUUCACCGCACCAAUUGGUAAGAUCAGAGAUCGGAUCUACCGGAAAUCGCUAGUAUUAUUGAUAACCAAUGUCAAGAAUUACAACUGAGAGACUCUAUCACCUGAGAUCUCUACCUACUCUAUCACCUGAGUAGUACUAAGCACAUGAGCUCAGUUUACAAUUGUAAUUUCUCGAUAACCGUCUAACAGACUCCAAGCUAGUAUUUAUACUAAUGUACAAGCACGUGUUAUUAUUUAUUCUUGUUUUAAAAUUCAGACGUCCUUGCCUUCGUCCUGCUUCUCUUUCAUCCCUCUAUCUCCUUUGAAUCUUCUCCUCUCAUAUGUAUGCUUGUACCUAUCAGAGAGAGAAGUUUUCUGAGCAAGAGAAGUUGGAAGAGGAGAAUAUACAGUCUCUCAAAUUAGUAAAGAAAGAACACGCCCAAGUGGAACUUAAGAGGCUAGAGAAUCUAAAAGUUGAAAUCGAUAUCUCCACUGAAGUUUUUAAAUGGGAGAUGGUAGUGAGUUUCGACAUGAGUAAUCUGGAUGGAAUGGAUAAUUAUAGUAUGAUACAUACACCAAUGGAAUAUGGGUUGAAACUAUCAAAGUCUAAAGUUGAAAGACACAGUGAUGCUGCAAGAUACAUGAGGAAUGUCGGCUGUCAUAAGGCCAGACCGGAGCUAUCUUGCUGUGUAAUGAUGAUAAGACGAGAUAUGCAAAGAUUCGAAGCGUUUCGUAGAACUGCGAUGAAGAUACAUGCAACUACUGAGAUACCAAUUGUUGGAGACAUUGGUAGAGGUCAUAGAACUGACUUGGAUGAUGGCAAGAGCGUGGCAGGACAUAUAUUUUAUGAUAAUGAAAGAUCAAUUAUGUGGAGUUCAAGCAAACAAGAGAUUCUUGUGUUACCGUCAUGUGCAGCUGAAGGCAUAGCAGGGACUGAAGCUAUGGAACAAGCUAUAUGGCUUCAAGAGAUAUAUUGGCAUACACCUGAGAGUGAACAGAGAAGCGAUAUUGUGAUGAAAGCAUUUGGGAAACUGAAGCUCAAAGAAAUUAGAGGUAUUGAUGAAGACUUGUCGAAAAUGGAUUUCAAGCUUAAGGGGGAGAAUGUUGGAUUAAGCUUGAAAGAAAAGGGAACUUGAGAAAUAAGUUAAAGACCUAAUCGUACCGAGUUAUGGAAAUUAGGAAUAUUAAUAUGUUUAGGAGGAGUUAUCUAGAUAUAUUACCUAAUAGGAUUAGGAGUUAUUAAUCUCUAUAUAAGAAGAUGCAAGAGUGUUGCAUAACUUAUGGUUUAGAGAUUGAGAGAUUGUGAGCUUAAGGUUUUUGAGUUAUUUUUCCUUAAGAUAAUAAGAGAGUUAUUCUUAUUCGUGACUGAGUUCUUGAGAUUUCUAAACUAUAGCUUAGCGUGUCAAUAGCAGCAAACAAAGUGGAAAGGAUGAAAACAGAGAGCUUACACAAUCCUUUUAAUACAAAAACAAACUGAUCUCGUCUGUUCAAUGUACUUGUGAUCACAUUCACACAUCGUCUCUACUCCGAU